GACGAAGGUGGCGAGCGUUGUUCGGAAUCACUGGGCAUAAAGCGCACGUAGGCGGUGACAUAAGUCGGAUGUGAAAUCCUUCGGCCUAACUGAGGAAUUGCGUCCGAUACUGUGUUGCUUGAGGACCAGAGGGGUGCAUGGAAUUUCCGGUGGAGCGGUGAAAUGCGUUGAUAUCGGAAGGAACUCCGGCGGCGAAAGCGAUGCAUUGGCUGGUUUCUGACGCUGAGGUGCGAAAGCCAGGGGAGCAAACGGG
rnacentral:rRNA from 1 species